rnacentral:lncRNA from 1 species
CCAGGAUUUGGCUUUUGGAUAUUGAGUGAAGCUAGUGCUUGAUCAAUGAUGAAUGACAUUUGAUAACCAGCACGCCUUACACGUCUUGCCUUGGCAUGAGUUGUCGGAAGCUCAUGGUAGUAAACAAUAACUUGUGGUGCCAUCUCAUUUACUGUGAGAAAAUAAGUAGCACAUAAGACUUCAUUUAUUCAUAGUUAGAGAUGAAAAGGUGAAUGGGUCCCACUGGACGUGCCAAAAAUCAUGUUGAGCAAAAAUUGUACACAAAAUGUAAACAAAUAAUUCACUCGACACAAUUUCACCCUCAUUCAUUUUUCUGAAGAGGGUUUUAUUAGUUUGAGUUCGACCAAUUCUAGACUAUGCGUCUAUUAAUUACAAUCCUUCGUUAAAAAGGAAAAACCAUUUGAUUCCAGUAUAAAUAAAUCUUAACUUGGGGAUUUGGGUGUUUAUUUGAUUUUACAAAUGCACCUAGGUAGAGCCUUAGAUUACCUACGUACCCUCGUUGAGGGAUCAAGUCACUUGUAGUUCCUUUGAUUUGGUAUGUGGAUUUUUAGUGAGUGAAUGACCCACUAAAAAGGAUUUGGUGUUUGGUUUAUUUGGGUGAAUUUGGUUGAAUGAACCAGGGAUUCGGUUUUGUGUUUUAGCUUUGCAGUUGCAUCUAGAAUAUGGUACUAGAUUGCCUACGUAUCCUUGGCAUAAUCAAACCGGCGUAGUUCACAAUGUAUUUAGUAUCUUCAAUGAGUGGAUGAUUCACUAAAGAACGAUUUGUAUUUUUGUGUUCUUUGCAUUUGAUGCCUUAUGCAGUUUUAACUCAUACAGGCAAUGAGCAUUUGAUGCCUUGUGCAGUUUCAGCUCAUGCGGGCGAGGACUUUGAAUCAUUGGAGCUUUUGAUGCCUUGUGCAGUUUUAGCUCAUGCGGACGAGGACUUUGAGCCAUUAGAGCGUCUUGGAGUCCUCGGGGUCUGUCUUCUGCUACUGUUGGUGCUGCGACGGGAGAGGUGAGGAAGCCGUCCUAUGGUUUUGCUCCAUUUUUGCCGAGAAAAGAGAGGGAACCAGAGUCCCUGGAAGUUUUGAUGAGGAAGGAGUUUGAUCCCCCUAGGCCCUAACUUUUGCUGGAAAUCGGUGGAAGCCCCCCCAUUUUCUUUGCUUUGGGGAGUGGGAAAGCAAAGUUCCUCCAUUCUUUUCUCCAAAAACUGAAACACAAUGACAAAGGAACCAUUAAAAAAACAAUAAACUCACCUUGUUUUUUUUAUACCCUUGCCGUGUAUCCCAUUUGCUUGCUUUUCUCUUCUAUUUUUUGUCUUGUCUCCCCUGUUGUGUGCUCUUCUCUCUUGUCCUCUUUCUCUCAAUUUCUCCC